GUUAACUUUCAUUUGAUUCAUCUAUAAGUCUUAUCCUUCUAACAGGAUCUACAAAUCAGAUGAAAUUCCUGUUUCAUUUUUUAAUUUCUUUUUUUGAAAUAGAAUGCUUAAUGAACGUAUAGGUUAUGUAUGGCAUAUGACAAUAUAGUAUGCGAAUAAUUAAAAAAAUUAAGAAUAUUUGAAAUUUUCUUUUUUUUAUUUGUAUAUAUAAUUAUAAUAUAAAUUAAAAAUGGAAAAAAAGCAAAAUCAAUCAAUUUUAUUAUAUCUAGUUAUGAAAUUGAUUUUCAGUUUCCUUUUAAUUUACUUUUAAUUUACUUUGUGAAAACGGGAAACUGUAUCAUUAAUAAAAUUACUCAAUAUGUCGAUUAUUUAAUAACGUGACAUAAAGUCGUGGCGGAAAAUUACGAAAGAGAAUUACGAGCCGCCAAAGAUAAUCAUCGAUCGGCGGACCAUAAUGCUAUAAGACGGAACUGGAUUAACCUCGAACGGUAUUUGUAGAGGCUCGAUCGCAUGUAUAUACUCGAAGUACCGUUUCGCCGUAUACCGUAACGCCGCGUGUUGUUAUAACGUAGUAAGUAGUUCAGUCAAGUCCCGCUUUCAACUUGCGAAGAAAAGUUUAUUCGUGGCACCGCGUGUUACAACUACAUUCGUCAUCUACGGUUUAACGCUUCGGUCGUCUUGUGAAAAAAUAAUGAAACUGCGCAGGCUUCAACCGCUCGAAAGAUAAAACGAUAGAAAAAGAUGCAAUAAAUUCGACACACGCUUGAAGCUUGAAGCUUUAAGAAAGAGAUAAGAAAAAAUUAUCCAGAAGAGGUAUUGGAAGAUUAAAAACACUAUUGGUAAAGUUUUAAAGAUUUAUCAAGUGUGAAAAAAUAACGAUACUAUAAUUUAAAACUUAAAGAAUUAAUAUCUCACAAUCGAAAGAACAUUGUUUCUCGCGAUCAACCACAGAUGUGAAAGUAUUAAAUGGUUGCCUAGUAAACAGACCGCCUAUCGCGCUGGACCAUUGCAGCAGAAUGUAUAGUGGUGCACAAUACUCAGUUGCAUAGACGCGUAUAGUAACAGCAUCCUGCGGCCAGUCGGUAUUCAUGGCACGCUUUACGAUUCAAAUUCGUUAGACUAAUGGUGGACGUGUCGACCGAGACUCGCUCAAUUUCGCAGCGUAACGGCUAAAAGUUGUUGGUUACGCGGGUUACGUCCAGCCUUGAAUAAGGCUAAUUUACAGGCAGCGGCUAUACGCAACGAAGGAAAGUUGUAGAGCGCCACCUAGAAAUGAUGAAGCGAGAAGAGUCGUUCUGUAAUAUUGUGUAGUGUCUAGAACUUACAAGUGGUAAACACUUAAUUCGUGACAUACGCGUACUGUUGUUUCCCUAGUUUUCUAGGGACUUUUUUUGCAUAUUUCUUUGUGUAGGAUCUUAAUGGCAGCAGUGGAUUAAGAAUGAAAUGAUUACCAGAGUAUAGCUAGAUAAGAUAUUGAUGAGAUAAAUUGUAUAGGGUAGACUGAUGACAGUUAUUUGUCUACCAUAUUAUAUUCGAAGAGGGAUUUGCUUAUUUGUCUACUAUAUUAUAUUUGAAGAUUUCUAUAUUGUUAUAUUCAAAUUACUUUUCGCAAAUAAUUAUAGUAAAUCUAGAUCUGAAAAAAUUUUUGAAUUUUUUUAAAAUUUUUUAUUUUACAUUAUACAUAUUUUUUAAUUUACAAGUUUAUGUCUCUUUCCUAAUUGAUAAGUUAUUCUCUUAGUACAAGAGAAUGAUUUGUUUUUAUGAUGAGAUAAAUUAUGAGAUAAAUUAUGAGAUUAGAAUCCAGAUUCAAGUUCACUUUAUUAAUUUUUGAUUCUUUUUAGAAUUGAAGGGAAGAUUACGAGUUCAAAAUGAAAAAACUUUCUAAAUUUUUUCCAGAGUCUUCUUUCUUUUAGUCCAAACUUUUUACUGCGUCGUAAAACCGUGAUAGAGUUGUGUGAUGUUAACUUACGUUAUGAAUGUCCCGUAAUCUUGAAAUUUAACAGAGCAAUUGUAUGAUUUAUUUUUGCGGAUUUCGGAAAAUAUUUUCUUUUCUAGAAUUAUUUUAUGAAAUAAAAAUCCUUUUCAAAAAAAUCUAAGGAAAAAAAGAAAUAUAAAGAAAUUAAAUUUUUCCUAAUUUUCAUAUAAUAAUAUAAUAAUAAUUAUUAAUCAAACAAUAAUAAUCAUAAUAUAAUAAUAAUCAAACAAAAGAAAAAUUUCACGCUCUCUUCAACUUUGUAUUCAUAUUCCUUCAUAAUUUUUCGAUUCGUUGAUAGAAUUGCCCGAUAUUUGGCAUUUUAUCAGUCCGCUCCUCGUUCUCUAUUUAACGUGAAUGUAAUUGGAUCGAUUCCAAGGUUAAAGAAGUUUCGAGAUGACUAUCUUUUUCCCGCGAGUCCUCUUCAAAACAACGACAGAGAAAUAAUUUUAUUUUUGUAUAAGUUAUUAAAUUUUAUUGACUUUUUAAGUUAUAAUAAAUAAUUAUGUGUAGAAUAAUUAUUUAAAUUAUUUUUGAACAGUUUUCCAUUUGGAAUAAAUGAACGAAUAACUUUUAUCGUUUUAAUUACCGUUAUUAUUUGAACGUAGAAAUAUGUGAAAAAUAAAUUACAUGAAUUAGCUAUAUUAAAAAAUAAAAAAUAUUAUAAAUCUUUUCAUAUUUUACAUGAUAUUAAAUGAUAUUUAUAUACAUAUAGCAUCCAAAUCGUGAUCCAAGAAUCAUUACAAUAUUCAGUUUCAAUCUUAAAUUUAACCAACAACCAAAAUAAGGAUCGAUGAGUUAAUAAUACUUCAAUUCUACCUAUCAUGAAAUUCGAAUAGUGAAUAGCUUAAUAAAUAUCUACAAAAAAAGAACUUGUAUGCAACAUGAUAACAAAUAAGUUUUUUAUCUUAAAAUGUAGAUAGAAAUGUAUCCUUGAAAUAUCAAUGCUAGAAAUCUUAUGCUACAUGCAAUUUUGAACAUUGCAAUUUUCAAAAGCUUAUUUUAAUUGUCUAAUUGUUCUUUAAAUUAUGCGCAUAACUAUCAUUCACCAACCUUUUUUCACUUUGUAUUCUUCGUUGAAUAUUGAACGGUAUAAUAAGUCCGCUGGAAACAGAACCUCGAGUUUUUUUUCUUUUCUUCCCCUUCUCAACGGACAUUCGAAGGUCCUAGAAAAAAGGUAGAGGAAGUGGCAGUUAUACCUAUGAUCGAGAUAUAGCUGCCACUUCCAGAAGAAAAGAGAGAGAUGACGAUUGGGUAAGAGAGAAAAAGAAGUGGAUAAAGUGGCAGGGAGGGAGGUGGAAGGCAGGCCCAAGGCAUUAACGAAGAAAGCUUUCCGAGCGAACGGUUAAGUUAGCCUGGAAUUUAUGGCCGAGUCGAAUCAGACGUGAAACACCCACGGCGAAAAGAGGAAAUCAAUUCGAGAGCCCUCCCGACUGGUUCUGGCUCGAACGGAAGUCGCGAAUCCGACUGUUCCCGCAGGCAGAAACGCGUCUCCUCUCCCCCUUCCUCUCUUUCUCUCCCUUUCUCCUCCACCUUUCUCUCGUGGUAUCCGGAGUGUGUGGUAGACUCGCGCGUUCCAACCUACAGAAGAUUACCGUGAGAUCGUUCGAAAGAAAAAGAGAAGGGUAUUGGUCACGAAGAGUCAGAUUUAAACGCUAGGGAAUUUCGUCUAGUUAUGAAUCUGGCUAUGAUAUUCGAACGUUUUGAAAAGUCGAUGAUCGUCGUUUUCGAUCGAGAAUAUCUGGAGGGAAUUUGGUUGAUUGAUAGGAAAUGGAAAUACGAAAUUGAUGUUGGGGAAUAAAUUUUAUAUGACUGAUGGAAGAAUAUAGUUUGAAAUAAAUUGUGAGAUAAAAAUCUUAGGUGGAAGUGAUGUUUGAUACACGAAGUUUAUUUAUAGAAAAUAGUUUGAAAAUUAGCGAUGUUAUAUCGAUGUUAUAUCGAACGUUACUUGGUUACGUUAAUUUUUUGAUAGAGCUUGAGCACUGUUUAAUUCGAACGAUAGAAAUGGAAAUCGAGAUACGACCCAAUUCGGGCAAAAAAAAGCAGUAACGAUGAUAGGAAAAAAGUUUAACGAACUUAGCCAAGCACCGAAAGUAAUUCGAGGAUGAUUAAGUUUUUAAGUUUCCGCACGAUAACGUAGUAUCAUCGAGCCAAAUUUUCUUUUUUUCUUUUAUCUUCUGACUUCUUUUGGUAUACUAAAAUUUUCUUAGACCUUCAAUUUCUUCUCAAGGAACCAAAUAAUUUACAUAUUAUAUCUUCCCAGAUUCGCUGAGAAUCUGUUUACGCGAUAAAGUUUCUUUUUAGACGUCAACAAGAUUUUGAAAUUAUCUGACAAGAUAUUAACUUUUUGGUUACAUUUGAAUUAAAUUAGUCGUGCAUAUUUUAUGUCAUAAAACGACGAGUCUAAUCGAAUUGAACAUGCAGAAAAUUUAAACUUAGACGUCGUCAAUUGAGUUUAAUACCAAAAGAUGAUACAUAUCAUCUUUAAGCAUAAAAUUAAAAGCGAAACUGUCUGCAAACAUGCCAUUGUUAUUUGCCUGAAUGGUUUGAAAAAUAUCAAUUCUUUAGAAUUAUUAUAAUUCUAUAUCAAUAAUUACAAUAUCAAAAUUUAUAUAUUACGGUAUAAUUUUAAUAAAUUUAUUAAUCAUCACAUUUUCAAUUAUUUUAAAUUCGCUUACAAUUUUGAAAUUUGACCUAUCUAUCAUCUUUUUUGAUAAUACGCCAAUAUAAUCGUAAAAGAUUAUUUAAUAUGAAUCAAAAAAAUUUUCUUUUUUACAUCAUACCAAGUAGAUGAUGGGAUUGCGUGGAUCAUUGAUAAUCUUUGGUGAAAAAUGAGUUAAUCACAUGCGUGAUUAUAAGUGUAUUGAUUUAUAAUAUUAUACACGUUCAAGUUUAGUCCGAACGAAAUGAUUAUCGCGGAUCAAUGAUGAUAUGUUACGUAAUAUAAAUACGUUUAUUACACCUGUUAAUGAUACACACAGUUAAUAAUAUCGUCAACUGUUCAACGAUAAAGCGUUGUUUAAUAAUGGAGAUACGAGGAUAGAAAGUUCGUAGUUGAUAAUCGACGAUCCAAGAUAUAUAAGUAAGUACGUUAUAAGUAUUAAUGAUAUAUGAAAGUUUAAUGAUAGUAUGAAGUGUUUGAUGACAGUAAAUAUUCCUUGACAGGAAAAAUAUUAACUGACCCGAAUAUUCUCUAGGAUUUAUCUUUAGUGAACCAUAGGGGGUGUAUUAAUUGAUAAAAAUGAAGAUUAAUGACAAUGUUUAAUAACUAGUGUUUUAUUAAUUUAUUAAAUUGAUACUUUUAAGAUAUUUUUCGAUUUCUUUGUUUUACAUUUAAAUAAAAAUAAAUAUUGAAAAAUAAAUGAAAUUGCUGAAAUAAUGUUAUUAGUAGUUAAUUUUUGAUGUUAUUGAAAGAAGGAGAUUUGAUGCUGAAUUUUGUAGAAAAUUAUAAUAUUUACAAAUAUAGAUACAUGUAUAUUUUAAAAUUAAUUAUAGAAUUGCUUAGAAUUCAUGUACCGUGAUAACUGAAAUAAAACGUGAAAGAAUUUUUUUAAGCUUUUACAAGUUACGAUUUUAAAUUAAAGACUGAGUAUGUAUUUAAUCUUCUUGUUUCGCUCUUUUGUUUGUUACAUAUGUAAACUUAGUUGCAUAGUUGUAUUCGUUACUUGAACACCGACAGAUGAAGAAUGUUAAAAUAUUGUACGUAACUUCUGCAUAUCUCGCGUUAAGCGUACAUUUUGGUUGUAUAAAUUAAAUAAUUAAAUGUAAGUCAGAAUUGAAAUACAACUUAGUUAAAAAUGCUGUCGCUGUCUCUCUCUCUCUCUCUCUCUCUCUCUCUCUCUCUCUCUCUCUCUCUCUCUCUCUCUCUCUCUCAGAUCAAAAGCUAAUUUAAAUAACAAAAGUGACCGAAUAUUUUUAGCAAAGUAAUAUGAAAUUUAAUUAAAAUUAUAUUGACAAUAAAUAUGUAAAUAUGUAAAUAUUUUUAUUUUAAAAGAAAAUAGCAUAGAGAUACACGCGAAAACAAUCUUAUUUAUUUAUUUAUUUAUUUUUCGUUUUGAGUAAACAAGUUGAAAAUAUAAGAUGAAAUUUGUCAUAUAAAGUUUAUAUUUUGAGAAAAUUCACAUUAAAUAUUUGUCUCGAAUAUUUACAAAACAUAAAUAAAUAAAUAAAUAAAUUGCGAUAAAACGAAAAAGACAUCAAAUAUUUUAAAUGCAUUAAAUUGUUGCAAAAAUUAAAUUUCAAAAUGAUAAAAUUUUGAUGUAAUUUCAAGGUUAUCUUUUUAUCAAUUACUUGGCGACAAAAUUACUUACAAUCGAUAAAAAUGACCGAAUGUGUUCCGGCACAUUGGCGAUUCUAUUCGGUAAAAAUGUGACCGAGAAAUUGCGAAUCCGUGAAAUUUCCUUCGCUUGCAGCUUCGAUGACACCAACGAGGAUCGCCCUUACAAAUAGGGUCGACGUUAAUCCAACCGUGAAGAUAAUCGUUUUUCCGUUAGGGACGCCGUUGCUUCUCUUCCGGUAUGUUGCAUCGACGUGUCAUGUAGAUCUGAUUACGUGUGUUCGCAUACAAUAUGGUUUUGAAUGAUCUUAUUGAAGUUCUAGAUGCGUAUAUAAUAUGUGGAAUUACUUUUAAUAUGUACAUCCAAAACGGAAAAAAUAGAAAAAUUCUCUGUAGAUAUUUUAAGAUUUCUCAUAAUAAUAAGAACGAUUCCAAUUUUUUGUUUUUAUUUUUGUCGUAUACUCAAUAAAAAGAACAUGAAAACAAUAUCAUGAAGAUAUAAUAUCGUGAAUGCUUUGUGAAAAGAUAGUAAUUUGACAUAGGAUAAAUUAACUUGUAUUUAUCCAUUAUUAUAUUUCACUUUUUAUAAUUUAUAUCAAAUUUGCAAAAGAAAUAAAAUAAUAUGGAUAAUAUGGAAUAAAAUGGAUUCAUGAUGCCUUGAAUUUGAAUUUUUUAUAUUUAUAAAUAUAUAAGUAAAAUUAUCAAUAUCGUUAAAAAUACUUAUUAUUUAUGAUUAAUAUAUUCAUUUUAAAUAUCUGGUCAGAAUUCUUACAAUUUUACAAUAAUAAUAAAUUUAAAUUAAUAAUUGAAUUAAAAAAAAUGUUACCCUUUUUGAACGGUAACGCAUAUAUAUCUUCAUAAUAAUUCUGAUUCACUUUCAGUACAUAGAGUCUACUCAUCGAAGAUUAAAGACAACCCCGGAAAAUCUAAAAUAUCCUAUAUAAUUCACUUAUAUUAUCAUACAUGUAAGUGCAAAAAGACGAGACCUAUGCUCUGACCACGGUAACAGAGAUGUUCGCUAAAUUUCCUUAUCGAUCGUCCACCGGUCGGUGACCCCUGUAGCAAAAGCGAAUCAUCGACUCUGGGGACGUUAUAAGCAACUAUGAAUUCGUGUUGGCGUUUCCAUAGGUUAUACUAUACAUAAAAGAAAAAUUGUCGUUACAAUCUAUCAUUGAUCCUAUUCUCUUCUCGUCUUUCGACGUAAAAAAAAAAAAAAAAAAAUAACAGAAAGAAAAACGGAAUAAAAAAAAACCUUUCAUCCAUUUCGCGAACUUCGUUAAAUGGUCCACGAUAAAUGUUUACUAUACACAGCGAUUCUGGAUCGUGUUUCGCUUCAAACUCCAUAGGUUCGUUUCUAAAUAGACGUUCGUCCCUUUUCUCUCUUUCUUUCUUUUCUUUUUUCGUUUGCUGUUUUCCGUAUUUUUCCCUUCUCCUUUUUCAUUUAUUUUUGUUUUUAUUUCUCUCUCUUUCUUUGUCCAUGUUACCCGUAAAUUUCUGUCGGUAUUUUCGGGAGGCGUGCACGAGAGGACCGCGCAUGCGCAUUCACGAUCGAAACAAUGCCUCUAUUUCCAUCGUGUUUCUGGCGCAACCGGCUUUUCGUAAAUUCGAGCCAUUAAAUAUGGACGGACACGUCUACGUUUAUGGGGAUACGCGGUUUGGAUCGAUUGUACUAUCGAGGAUCGAAUCUACAGCAGGAGGCCGGUUUGUCAAUCGGAACUGUCUUCUCGUGUCUCGCUUCGCAUUCGAUCAAUGACAUCAAAGUUUAUGCGUGCGUCGGAACGAAAGCUCAAGGUUCGAAGAGGCGUUGAAAAGGGACGGUCGACGUCAAGUAUACCGAGAAGCAAUUAGGCCGCUCCCUAAGGACUGUACAAGAGGCAGCUAAUCUCGAAUCUCGACUUUUUUAAAAGACCGCGAUCAGAAGAAUUGACUUGGUUCAGACUUUCGACAAGCCACCAGAGAUCUUUUGACGCUUUAAUUGUACGUCAUAUAUGUAAUGAAUUAUUAACCUCGUAAUGUGUCUGUAUUAGCAUUCAUAUGUUAAUUAAUUUAAUUAAUUAAUUUAAUUUACAUAAAUCAUACCUUUAUAAUUUCAUAUAAAUGACGUUUUACAAUUUCUUACGAAUAGUAAGAAUUCAUUCAUUCACAUCGAGGAGUAAGUAAUUUAUUAAAGAGAUUAGAUCCAAGACUUUAUUGAAGUAGACAAAAAUUAAAUCUUUAAAAAAAUAACAAUAUAUUAACAUAUUUAUAAUCGAUAAUUUGAUGUUAACAAUGUAAUUGAAAUUCAAUUUAGAAUAUCAAAUUAAAGAAUAUCGAAUUUAAGAUGAGGUUAAGUAAAUUAUUGUAUUUCUUGUAUUUCUUUGUGUGUCACGAAGUUAUAAUAGUUUAAAAAUAUAUAAUUUUUUAAUCAAAAUUUAACGAUCUUUUAAUAUUGAUAAGGAUUAUAUUACAAUUUACUUCUACUUGAGAAAGUUGACGCAAGAUGGUGCGUGAUAAUAAUUAUAAUGAAGUUUCAGAAAGAUGACGCUAGUGUAGCUGAAGUCAGCGAAAUUUAUAUUCAUGGCAGUACAUUCCGUGCUGUGUUAUUGACAUUCGAGAAAAAUACAGAACCACUAUACACUAUUUCCGAGCAAACCAACAUAUAAUACGUUAUAUAAGCUCAUUGGCAAUACCCUUUCGACAGCAUGAUGUUGUUUCAAGGAGAGAUAGAGCAGCUCUGUGUGUUUGCAUCGUAUGUCGCAUAGUCGGGCAAUGUUUCGGUGACAUAACCUGAAUGGUACAGUACAUAGCCACAUAACCAGUUUUAGAGGAUGACGCUCUGUUUACCAAUCAUCUUAGAGAAGACAUGGUUGUUCUGUUUGAUUAUAGUCCGAUAUCGUUCUCAAACAUGUCUCUAAUGCAAGAGACAAGAAACCAGACAGGGAACUUAUUUUGCACGGGCUUCCCCCGGAGAGAGGAAUUCACCUUUUUAAGCCCCCAAAAAGAUGCAAGACUCCGUACGAGCAGAAACCAAUUUGAAGGCUCCAUUUCGGAAGAGCACGCUUUUAGGUCAAGUGGACUCGGACACCGGAAGCUGAGCGGGUUAUCUUCGUUAUCUGGAGGGAUAAGACGAAGAUUAAGUCGAUACAUGUGGAACUUUACGAUCGUAUUUUGGAACUUAGGAUUUUGGAACGAGUUUGUUUAAUUAUUUGAAAACUUUUGCCAUUAAUAAUGUUAUCAAAAUCUUAUCAAUUAUCAAUAUUAUUUAAUCGUAUGCUUUUUAGGGUUCAUUUUCAUUCCAGAUCUAGUAUUUUUCUAUUGUUAAAAAAUUCUUUAAGUUUGAAAGAUGAAGACUUGAAAGAUGAUUUCUCGUUUCAUUUCAAACAAAUUUAAAAUCGAGAUAUUAAUAUUUGAAGAUCAUUAAGAGGAGCAACAUCUGAAUCACAGACAAGAAAAUCUGAAAUUAUAACAUGACUUAAUAAAUAUUUUUUGAAUAUAUAAUUUUGAACAAUACAAUGGUAAGAUAAUUUAUUUAAAUUUGAAACAUAUUAUAUUUGCGAAUUUCUACACGUCCAUUAUGAGUCUCUAAUUAUCUAUGUACGAUUGUUACAUUCAGCAUUAAUUCAACGAAUGUCUCGUAUCAUGCAUAAUCAAUGACUACUUAUAUAAAUUCCAACACGUACACAUUUGAAUCAGCAACUCGUUGAAACUUUUAAUAUUUAAAAGUUUAAUAUUUAAAUAUUAUUUCGAAGAAGUCAAGGUUAUGAUUUAAACGUUGCGUUCAUUAAUUAAAGAAUUUAAUUUAAGAAUUCUGUUAAUAAAACAUCAUCAUAAAUUAUUAUAAAUUAAUGCACGUUAUUAAAAAGAAUUAAUUAUUUCUUUUUUUUAAAUAUAUUUCUCUUAAUUCCAAGUUUAAUGUAAUUACGAAGUUAUGCAGUAUUUUAUUAGACGAAUAGAAUUUUUUAAUGCAACAUAAUUUCAAGAAUUGAAAACAAUAGAAUAAAAUAUAUGUACAAUACAAUUUUCACAUAAUUUUUUGACCUGAUUAUCUUAAUCUUACGAACUAUGAACUCUGGUGUUGAAUAUUUUUCUCGCUAAUCAAGGAAAUUAAAACGCAAAUAUAUAUUUGCAAAUUGUAAUGUAAAGUUUCUCUAUGUAAAGUUUCCACACAGGAUUAAUAUUUCACGAAAUUUUAACCGAUGUUCGUGGAUUAAAUUUUCAUUUAUAUCACCAUCACGCGUUGGAUACAGAUAAAAAUAUUUAUACCAUGGAAUAACCAUGGAUUAUAUUCUCCACCGCGUUGCAUUUUUCAAUGAAGAUUAAACACGCUUAUACAAAAGAAAAAGAUGAUGCAAUACGUUUAAAUUAAUCCUUGCACAAUUCACUUAAAAGAAAUUAAAAAGAUAUUCAAAUAAAUAUCACGAUUUAAAAAAAAAGGAUUAAAUAAUUUAUUAUAAAUAAUAAAUCGAUUUAAUUUCUCAUUAUGCGCAUAAUGCGCAUAAAUAUUAACAAAUAUUGAUAAUUUUAAUAUUUGAAAUUAAGAAAUAUAAGUAAUUUUUAUCGUAUUUCGUAUGAAUAUCUACUACUAUCGAUCUUGACAAAACCAAUGUUCCUAUGAUUACAACCUUAACUUCCGUCAAAAAUGACGUCCAUUGCUACGUCAAUGUUGCCCGAACAUUUGCGUGACCGUACGAUAUAAUGAAUAAAAUAUCGGUUAAUCAUCACGAAGACCUUUUAUUUUCUCUAUAAUUCUGAGAAUGAAAUAUUUAAGAUUCGUCGAUCGAAAUAGAAUAUUACUAUUUGAAAUCGGGUAGAAAAAUCGUCUGUUUAGUUGGUUUUUUGUCGAUUAAUACGACGUGGCGAAUACACUAGCUUUUGACGCAUCAUCGACAAUACGCGCCAUUUCCAUCUACCUAUCCCGUACCGCGCUUCGUUUGUUGCCGGAAAUUGAAAUUUUCAUGUCGGUCUGCGCCACGGAUCCGAAAUACUAAUGGAUCUGAAAUAGCGAGAAUAAAAUGGUUGCGCGUCGGUGCCUUAAUCAACGAGCUCCCCUAUCGCUUUUUUUAUUUUUUCUCCUUUCCUUUUUCUCUUUCUUCUAUACUUUUUUUUAUUUCUCUUUUCCUUUCUUUUCUCUCUCUCUCUCUCUCUCUCUCUCUCUCUCUCUCUCUCUCUCUCUCUCUCUCUCUCUCUCUCUCUCUCUCUCUCUCUCUCUCUCUCUCUCUCUCUCUGUGGUCUGUUCGGAAACGAACAUGGCGGUGAAACGAAAGCACCGAUAUAAAACGCACAGUUAAUUCUCGAUUUCGGUGGUGAACCGUAAUCCAACGGGGCGAGAGAUCGAGCUUCAUUUCCGGUUACGGGUCCGGGCAAUCAGGAAUCCGGCUAAACAAAGACCAGUCGGCAAUUUGGCCGAGAAAUCUUUCGGGUCGGUUGUGAACUAACCACGGAUAACUCCAUUACGAAGAGAGAAAACGAAUGCCGUGUUGAGGUGGAAUGGAAUUUCACUUAGCUUCGAAAUACGAAGCUGAAACGUGAAAGAGUUACAUUAAGAAUGUUUAGAAAAGAAAGUUAAAAGUGAUCAAAAAGGAAAAGGUAGGAAGAGAUAGGAAAAGGAUAGGUUCGUAGAUAUAUUGGUAUAGGUUAUGAUAGAAGUUAUCUCGAUUUUGUUAAUAUCGCGAAUGGCAUUUCUAACGAGGAAUUUCUAGCAGGGUUUCUCCUUACGACACGUUUCACUUGUCACACGUUCAUCUUCUGUCAGUCAAAAGUAUACAGUAAUGUUGGAAUAUAUGGUCAUGAACUUGUUCGCUUAUAUAGUAUUCCCUACCACUUCCUGAUAUUACUUGCACUUCAGCGCCAUCUAAGAUCUGCAUCGACAAUGAUUUAAUUAUUAUUUAAUUAUCAGAACAGGAAAAAUAUAAUUCUUCUUUUAUAUUUCUUACGAGAUUUCUUUAUUACUAUUAUUACAAAAUUACUUUAAAUUACAUGAGAUACGAUUAUAUUUUAUUUAAUUCUUUCUAAUUAUAAAUAAAUAAUAAAUUACUCUCCGUUUCACUCUCAUCAUUGGCGCAUGCGCGGUAGAACGAGCCAGUGUUAAUCUCGAGUAUAUUUAAACUUAAACUAACCUAUUUUGUGACUUAACCGUAUUAUUUCCGCUAACUGUACGCAAUUUCUUCGCGAUCAAUCACUGAUCACCCACUCUUCGUUUAAAAUAGGAAGGAAAUUGAUGCUGUGUUCACAGCUCCCCGAUUUCUAUUUACGAAGUUUAUUCGACUCGAUAAAUGCCGAUUUGCAAUGACGACCGAGUAUAGCCGACUUCAAAGUGGCCUAAAGUCACGGCCGCCUCUCGUUGAUACGAUUUUUUUCGAUUCUGCCCCCCCAGUCAGCCUGCAAAUAUUUUGAUUGGAUCCGAACGAGCAUCAACAUUCCCGCGGGUGGUCCCCCAUGCAAAUUGUCUUCGUAAACGUUCUCCUCGAAAUAACCGGUAUGUUUUUCCCCAGUAAUGAACAUUCCAACCUCGGCUAAAUGUCGUUGGGUUACUCGACAAAACUAUAAAGGGAGGAAGUGAGAAAAAGUGACAAACAAGAGAGAAUAACACAAGCUUGGAUCCCAUGCGGGGAUAUUCUGGUUACCUCCAGGAAAGCACAUUGAAGUUCCAUUUCUAAUCCCGAUGUAACAAACGGAAUAUAACCUCACUCCGCAAGUUUCAAAAACAGUACACGUUCUACAAACUAAAAGUUCAAAGUUUUCUACAGUUACUCUGUCGUUGUAACUAUGUUUUUUAAGCUGUUUGAAGUUCUAGUAGUUUCUCCUUUCGGUAAUAUUUUUAAGCUAUUCUCUACGGAAAUCUUAGCAGAACAUGACCGUGGUAAUACGAGUGUCGCGCGAAGCCAGACGGGUUGCAGAAGGCAGGCGUUCCUCUCUGGCUUAUACCGAUGAAUACAUGCUAGACAGAGAAAUAUAGAGGGAGAAGGUCGAACUGGGGUGUGUAUCGGAGAGAGAAUCACGGACUUUGCUAGAAAGAGUAGGGGAUGAUGGUCGGAGGAAGAGAGAGUGAGUGAGGUAGGGAGGAAGAGAGGGAGGGGAGCACGGUCGAGCAAACGCGGUACGAUCGAUCGGUACUCCAGCAGCGGGGGGUUCCCCGUAUAUAGACGAGUUCUUCUGCUCCCUGCACCACCACACCCACGCUUUCUGCCUUCUUUCAUCCUCCGCAUCGCUCAUUCUCUAUCUCUUUCCAUCUCUCUAACACUCGGUCUGCGUCAUUCACAGUCAUUCGGUUUCUUCUCUUCGUAGCUCCUCGCUCGUAUUACUUUUUUCCUUACGACGAUUCUUUCGUUUCAUCUCUGUCUCAUUCGUUGCUCCUCCAAGUUCUGUGACGAACGACGGACAUAAGCAGAAGCAGCUGUUCCAACAGUCGCUUUGCUUUUCUCUUUCGACGUCUGCUGCCAAACCCUCUGGACAUCAUCCCCGCUCCCCACAACUUUCGUCUGUGGCGUUCCCAUUUUCUCGGUUCGCCGGAGAAACCUCGUCUUACACUCUCUUUCCCCUCUCGUUUUUCGUUACAUGUGCGUGUAUAUAUAUGUGUGUGCGCGCUACCGAGGAAUCGUAACGAAGUCGUAAUGAAAGACCCUUACGGUCUCGCGUGUCAUAAAGUGUGUAGAGGGGUUUAGAGAAGGAAAAAAAUGUUCGCGGCGGAAAGUUGAAACGUUGCCCGUCUAAUUUCCUAUUCGUUAGAGGGGAGAAGUUGGAUAGAUCUGUUCCUCUCGACGAUUACUAAAUUUUGCGGUUUUCUUGCUUCGCCGUCUCAAUGGUUUCUGAUUUUGUCCAACGAGAUGCAGCAGCGCCAUCAUAUGAUGAUUUAUCACUAUUAUAACAAGAUGGUUUUCAUUUAACUGUUGGAAAAAAAAAUUAAACGAAUUGUACGCGGAAUGGAAUACUUGGUUACCUAAUUGGUUAGAAUUUUAAUACAAAUAUAACAGUUAUUAGGGUAAUGAAAGUAAGAAACAAUUAGUCAGCGUGAUUUUUGAAAAAUUUAUUUACCACGAGUUAAAUUAGACGCGGAUUUAAGUAAUUAACAUCGAAAAGAGAAUCUCUUCGUUUAUCUCCUUUAAUUCCUUACAUUAAUACAUUCUCAAGAUAAAAUCUGAUCACUUUAAGAACAUGUUAUACACUAUAUCCCUGUUUCUAUGAUCUAUAAAACAAGCUUCUACAAGUUGAAAUAAAUUUAAACCAAGAAUAAAGAAAUAAGAUAAAUUUAUCCAUAUAAAGUUUUUUCUUGAUAAAAAUAAAAAAAAGAAGAUUAAAAAAGAUAACGAAAAGAAAUUUUUAUUUUUAUAUCUUAUCAAGAAAUUAUCUUUAAAGAAAAAUAUACAGAAUAAAGAGAAAUCGCGAAAGAGACGAUCGUAAACGCAAGAAAUUUGUUUCCAGUCGGUCGGAUAAGGAAGAUGUAUGUAAUGGCUUCUGAGAGUGUCCGUUGACAGUGGAUUCGCCGAGAUUGUACGGAAUCUUCUCCCCGUUCCACUUUGGAUUUCCGUAGUCGUAUCAGCGGCUUAGAGACUAAUCCAUUUACGCUUUAUUGGUCGAGACCGUGUGGCCUUUGGCCGAACGAAUUUCCGCCAUCGCCACCUUCAACCCGCCGCCAUAGUAUAAUAACACUCUCGCGUCGCCCGGAACAAGGAAACGCUGUUUGUUCCUUAUUAUCCUGUGAAAUAUUGGUCCGAGAGCCGCAUACCGGUCGGUAAAAGCUCAACACGAUACGUUCGGUCGCCGACUAAAGUACGGGUGUCGCAUUUAUAAAUAAUUCCACGGUUAUUCAUUUGUGACAAGAUCGAGAUCGUUCGCAGCAAGGAAUGAAUAUCUUUCUUUUUUAAGAUAGCACUAGAAAAAGAAAUAUAGUUAUAUUUUGUAGUCAAUUUACUUUGAAUUAAAACAAAGAAAAAAAUCAAAGAAGAAUAUUUAAUUAAAUAAAGCAUUUCCUCUUUAAUGCUGACAUUUUUUUAUUUUUUUUAGAAUUACCUUAAUAAUCUGAAAUAUCAUAGCAAUAAAUUCUUCAUUAUUAAACGUAAGUUCUUCUAAUUAUAGUAUUUAAUAAUUAAAAAGUUGCAUGGAUUAUGACUAAUCUAUCCUUUUUAAUUUCUAAUCAUACUAUUAAAUCAAAUUUGUUUUAUUAUUUGAAUAUCGAAAGUACCGGUUAUUCUUCGAUUGAUCGAACACAGUGACGGUACGAAACGUUUCGUUACCGGAAGUUCUCCAGCAAAGGCUUGGAAAUAUUCUUAGAAAGUUCACCAUGAAAUCGAUUGAACUCUGUGAACAUAUAUAAGACAAGAGAGAAGUUUUUGACACGAAUCCCAUCCAACUAUUUCUCUUUGUUCCUUAAUUAAUACAAUAAUAACUUCGAUCGUUCUCGAUAGUCGCUCGAACUUUUUGAUCGUUCUAAUUGAAUUUUUUUCCCUUCUCUCUCUCUCUCUCUCUCUCUCUCUCUCUCUCUCUCUCUCUCUUUCUCUAAUUCCUAUAUAACCAAGUUUGACCUUAUUCGACACAUUUGCAGUUUCAAUAGCGAUACUUAUCGAAGCGAAACGAUGACAAGUCGCGUCAUAAAAUAUUACCGAUAUUAUCCUUUGAAUUUUAUUCUUUUCAAGCGGAGAAGAUCGAUGUUUGCUUAGACAUCACUAUGACCUCUGGUAGGCAGGAAUAAAAUAUACUUAUAUGUAUAUAUAAUUUACAUGAACCAUGAAAAUAGUAAAAUUAUAAAAUUUAAAAAUGAUAGAAAUGUGAUAAUAUAAGAACUUGAAAUUUCGAUUAAAGCCAUGAAGAUGAAAUUUGUUAUACGAAGUAUAAUGUAUAAUUCUUGUACAUUAUAGAUAUUUAUACAUAUAGAUAUUAUACAUCACGGAAACCACAAAAAUUUUUUAACGAUUUAAUCACACCACAUUAAUAUGUUAAUUUUCUCGAAUAACUUUCUAUCAACUUUCUCCAUCACAGAUUAUUACUUCGGUUAUUUAUAUAUAUUACUCAUAUAUAUUCGAUUACUCAUAUUUAUCGUAUAUAUGAAAGUUGAAUUAAUGAAAGUAUAAAAGUUAAAACUAUUUUUUUUUUCUACUCAUAUUAAUCCAAUGCUUAAAAUAAUCAGGAGAAAAUGUAAAGCAUAAACAAUAAAUCAUUGUUUUCCGACAGAGGACCAACGAAAGCCACUUAAAACUCAAUCGAUACUCACGUUCUCGUAAUUCGAGUGGCUCCGUGAUCGCGGCUGGAACGUCGUUUAUUCCUUGGUUCGAUUACCGAAGCUAAGUGUCGGUAGCUGUAUUAGCCUUAUUUCCGUCAGGAACUUGGGAAAGGUCGGGUCUAGGUCGCAUGCCUAGAUCUGCGCGAGCGAUCGAGCACACCUCUAUGUCGUAACAUCGACUUUUAAUGAAACGUCUCGAAUGCUGCGCCGCACCGCGGCAUAUUGCACGAUCUAAAGGUUACUCUCGCGCAUUGAAGUUCGAUUUAGGUUAUAUCGUUGGAUAGAAAUUCUUUAGAUUAUUUGUAUCAUUGAAGUAUUAAAUUAUGGUAAAAUCAUUGUCAAUUUCGAUUCAAGUUUAUCAUAGUUUCUAUAUAAAGUUAUUUCAUUAUUGUACAAAUUUAAUAUUUAUUGACUCGACACUGUGAGGAAUGUUUUGUGACUUUUCUUUUUCUUGGAGGUUAUGUCGUGAGAAAGGUUGGCAACUUUGUGUUUGCGUGCGCAUCGUGAUGUUCGGCAGUGAAAAUUGAGAAACUAUAUUCGAUAAAGAUAUUUUAGAAAGUAUAUAUUUAAAUUAACAAUAUUCUUUUAAUAAAUAUAUGUUCGAUACGUUGCUAUUUUAAAAUUAACAAAAUCUAAUGCAUAGAUUAUAAUGUUUUCUUUUUCAUCCUACAUUUUAGUAUUGAACAUUUUAGUAUAUAACCAAAAAAAAAAAUGGAUAUUGCAUGUGUGAACAUCCUCAAUCAACUGAUCUUUUUUUUUUUCUUAAUAUCCGGCGAUCAGUGUUACACGAUGAAUACAAGUUGCUUGCACGGUUCUUUUUCACCGCCAUGAUAGUAAUUCGCAAGGUGUCGAUGUUGGAGUAAAAAAUAUAUAGUUUAGAAAGUUUGAAGGCUUCGUGCUUGAAAUAUUUAUCAGAGACUUAGCGAGAUUUGUGUGCAUUUAUACAUGAACAGAAGUCGAUUGAUACACAUUUCCAUAUGCACCCAUGUAGAAGGUAAUCGGCUAAUAUAGGAUCUGAUAGCGCAUAUUAUUAACGCGAUUUACCAAAGGAACAUGCAUAUUCACGGUUCUUUGAUCUAUCAGACACACUAAGCAUUCCAUGAAUAUUUAUGUUCGCACAAUUCACUUGCGACUUGAUAUUGCAAACAAGUGUUGUAAAUUAAGUUACUACCUAUAUAUAUAUAUAUGUCUCUAUUUGCAAUCAAAAUGUUUGCGUCUUUUUAAUAAUAUAUACGAAAUUUUUUAAUGUUGUAUAACAUAAUCACAACAUAUAAAUUUUUUUCUCUUUUAUAAUAGAUUUGUUUUCAUAAAUAUUAGAAUAUUUGCUAAUCUCGUAUAAAACGUGACAAAUAUUGUAAUAUAGGGGCGUGUGAAAUACAUGUUAAAAAAUUUAAGACCACCCCUGUCUUUGGUGUCGAGUUCUUGGACACUUCCUGUCGAUGAAGUGUUUCCACAGAAUUCGGGUCGCAAUCAGGACGUAUGAAAUUUAAUAUCGGAGCGUAUGUUACGGUGAGAGUCUAUCGGAUUUGCAUCUGAUAGCCGAAAAUUCUUGUCAGCGUUCUUUCAAUCUAUACCGUACCGAACCGAAUAUAAUAUGUCGAUAUUGAAUGUAAAAUAAAUAUAUAUUUUUUUAUUGUCAUUAAUAUAAUAUUCAAAACAUUAAAAGAUCGAAUAUUGAAUAAAACUUGGAUUGGAAUCGAAUAAUCAAAUCGAUUGUAGAAAAUUAAUUUAUUAUUUCAUAAGAUUUUAUUUUUCAUUAAAUAAAAUCAAAGCAUCAUGAUAACGAUACGAGAUAAAUUUAAUUUUAAAAAACAAUCUUUCCAUCAAAAUUUUUUCUUUUCUCUUUUUUUAAAUAUAAUUUCUAUCGUUUUUAAAGUAACUUCAAAAACUUUACGAAACAAAUUAUAAAUAUAAAUCUAACAAUCUAAUAAUUACAAGUUAAAUUAAAUAUGUAAAUUUUGUUACAAGAAAAUUUCUAUCUCCAGUUCUCUAAUGAAUAUAUAAAAGUCAUGUGAUAAUUAAUAUAAGUCAGUUCAAUAUCUGAAUCGCGAGAGCAAUUAUGUUUCUCCAUUGCUCCUCAUCAAUUUAUUAACUUAAUCUUCGGAAGAACAAUGUAAGUAUUGUCAAUGCGUGACAUUUCGUUCUAUGUAUAUAUAAUUUCAAUAGAAACGAACAAUGUAACUUGAAGAAAUUAAACAUCGAUAUUCGAAAGAUACGUGAAUCGGAGCCUAUACAAAUUAAUUAACUUCGUUCGAUCGUCAAACGAGGCUGCAUUGUUCUUUCGUGUUCGUAAAAAGAAAAAAAAAGACUUGGAAAAUGGUGGAAGGACAAUGAGGGUGCCACGAUAGAUCGUAAUAGCGACCCUCGCAAAGGUUUCUCUGAUUUUAACUUCUUCGCUCCGGAUAAGAUUCGGUUAAUCUGUUUAAAUUUCAAUCAAUGAGGACACGGUCUUAUAUAUCGGCCAAUCCUGUUAUAUAAUUAAGUAAUACAAUGUAAGCGAUUUUUUCGCAUGUUGAAAUGAAUUUCUAUGGUUUUUUUUUUAAACUUAUUUUAUGAUAUAUUUAUGUUUUAAUCAUGUGUCGUAAUUGUGUCGUUCUUCUUUUUUUUCCCCCUUUUUUGUUCGUUUUUUUGUUCGUUUUUUGUUCGUUUGUUCUACAAUGAAUAGGAAACAGAAAUGCCAUAAAAUUACAAGCUGUUAACCUUAAUUGAUCUCUGCAUUUUUGUCACCACGCAGUGCUUAUUAACAACACUUCUAGAUCAAGUACGCUUGUACUAGAACAUCGGACAAUUGUUUUCUCGUUAUCACAAUAAUUGAUAUUCAAAAUAAUAAUGAGGAAAUGAGUUAAAACAAAGAUUACCAUUUUUAAGAAGCUUCUAUAUAAUUACGAAAAUUCGCUAUACGUUUUGGAUAUUAAUAUAUAGUCUUAAGAAAUAGAUGAUUAAAAGUUGAAUUUUAUUUAAUUUUAUGGAAAAAAUUAGAAAUUUUAGUAGAGUUUCAAAAUCAGAAGACAUUAAAUAUUUCUCACUUUAAAUACAAUUGUAUAAUAAUUGCGUUAAGAUUAAGAUUUGAAUUAAGAUUUUUUUUUUCUAUAAUUAAUCUUUCAUUGUUAAACGGUCAAUAAAAAAGUGAUAAAAAAUCUUUGGGCGAAUACCAUUGUGUAUAUUAAUAAACAGAUGGCAAGUUGUCAAAUAGAAAGCUACAAAAUGUGAAAGAAUAUAUUCAUAGUGGAGAUGUAAUGGAUAGUUUCACAUGGGUAAAAAAAAUAUCGAUCGAUAUACGAAAUACGGAUUCAGGUCUCCAGGACAUUGGAAGCCAGCCAAAAAGUGAAACUACCAACUCUUCAGGUUGCCUAUUGGCCUAUUCGCGAUUAUUCGCGAGUGUGAUAUUUUCAAUUCGGAUAAUGGCACUGUUCUGGAGGUCGCUGGAAUAUUUUAACAAAGCCACAAUAGAAUUGAAAACACGUGACAAGUGAAAUCGAAUAAAUAUUUUUACUAUUAUAACAAAAAAUUCAAUUAAAAUUAUGGCGUUAUUUAUUUUUUUUUUUUAUAAUUACAAUCUUUUUUCACACUUUUAAAAUCUAUUUAGUUAUGCAGAAUCUUAUAAGAAAUUUUUUUUUUAUAUUAAUUUUAUUUUAUUUAUAUAGAAUUUUAAUAUAAAAGUCUAUGAAUAUUUUUGAAAUUUUAAAAGAAUCAUAAAUUUUUUCCAUUAUCUUCUGAAUGUUAUAAUAUAUCAAUAACGAUCGAAUGUCGAAUGGAAAUUUUUGAACUUUAGCAUAUGUUUACCGAGACUUGACACAUUCUUAUAGGAAAUGCAAAUUUUUUGCAUCAUCACCUUGAGGGAAAUUAUCGCUUGUUACGAAGUUUAAACCGGACUCGCCGCUGUUAGCAAGCGACGAGCUGAACAGAAACAUUCAUACCGGAUGGGACAGCAUUAGUAUUUAUUAACCUAAGGUCGUCCCCUAAUUGACGUAAUUACCAGCUCGAGAUAUUCCGUGAAGAUUGGGAAAAUUGCUUGUAUCAGUGAUAUAUACUCGAUUAUCGAGUCAUUAAUUAGCGUUGAAAUUUAAUUAAUCAAAAUUGAACACUUUUUUUAUGAUCUUUCCUAUGACUUUCAUAUUUUACGAAACUUUCACAAUCUUUAUUUUCUUUACAUUUCAUUAAUAUUAUAAUUUUUCUUCUUUUAUUUCUUCAUAACAUAUGACUGAUUCACGAUUGACUGUCUAUUUAUUAAUUAUCUAUCUAUUUGAAAAUAAUGUUCUUUUAAAUUUUCUUUUUUUUUUUUUUUUCCUAUUAUUAAUCGACGAGUCGGUAGAUGCCAUCAAUAUCAGUAAAUACAGCUCUCCUAUUUCCAAUUACUAAUUAAUACACAAUUUAUAUGAUAAUGCAACGAUCGAGAAGAACAAUCGCCAUAGUUGUUCUCCCCUUUUCUAUCUAUUCUACAUUCAAUUAUUAGUCUUUUCUUUUUUAACAAUCGAUAAAACACCACAAUAACUUUAAUAUUAUCAACAUUGAUUCAUUCAUAUUACAAGAUGUAAUUAUUUAUAUAUUGACGAUAUGUUAAAAUUUUUGUCAUUCUCUUUUUGAUCGUUAAUCAAAUACCGAUUACGGAAAUCUAAAUUCAAAUCUCAAUUAGCAAAUUUACCCGGGAAGAGUUAAUAACAUGUAACGUUGGUAACCACUUUUCGACAUAUUCCUCGGUCGGUAAACGACAUUGUCGUUCCGCGUGAUAAUAAAUCAGGCCCCCGGUCAUCAUUUAUAGCCGUUAGUUAACGACACGAGAACUACAAUUAUUUUAAUGGUCCUGUCUACCGGCUGGGAAUUCCAUCUGGUUUUAACAUCGAUACUCAUGACAUCGACGAGAUGGCCGGAUCCCAUCGAUAAUCUCGCAGUUAGAUGGAAUUUAUUGAUAAAACGCUUAUGUGCGUAUAUUGGCGCCCUCAGCGCACACCGGAUCGGUAAGUUGUUUCAACGAUACACGUGUAUAUUUCGUGUUACGAAUCAUCUGUGUGCCACAUACUGUAGAAUCGCCAUGAUUGCAAUAUGCAUACUAUAUGUAUAUACAGGUAUAGUACGAUGCGUUUGCAUUAAAACGAUCGUGACACGCUUCAAACGUUUCUGGUGAUCGAUGCUUGCAGACCAUCUAAUUUACACGCAUGCAACAAGGUAAUAGAAGCUUGUCAAUAUUGUCGCGGUUUACGAGACGAACUUUACGUUUGAAGUUAACAAUUUAGAAUUAAAGGAAUUGUGUACAUAUUGAAGUGUUAUGAGAAUUAUAGAUUGAAAUAUCAUUUAAUUGUAAUAGUGAAUAAAUAUGCAAGAUUAUGUAUAUAAACGUAAUUGCUUAGAAAAAGAUUAUUUAUAGUUUUGUACUAUAAGUGAAAAAAAAUUUUUCUUCUCAAAAAGAUUUAUUAUUUAAUGUAUAUAAAGACAUUUUUAUUCAUUUGGAUUCAAUUUGUUUCUUCAUUUCCUUUUUAUUUGCUCAUAUAAAAUUAUAUUUGUUGUUUAAUAUUUUGUUUGAUAUUAACGUUUGUUAUAAAAUAUGUUUUUCUUGUAUUUCUUAGUAUUUAUUAGUAUUUAUUAGUUUUGCAAAAUUUUAAAAAAUAAUUGUAUAUUAAUACAAUUAGUGAAAUUGUAUUUAUAAUUAUUUUAACGUUAUUAAUUGAUAUUAUAUAAUUUUCCAGAAUCUUUUAUUUAAAAAUAUCCUAUAUUUAUAAUUUUAGUAACAAAAAUCAUUAUUUUCAAAAGAAUAGUAUGUAAAAAAAUGAACACCAGAGCAAAAAAGAAAAGUGCACGAAAAGUAAUAGUCGUUUUGUAUGAGCAUGAUAAAAGCUUACUAGUAUUAUGAAACAUAGGAACGUAUCAUCGCUUAGAAAAAAGAAUAGUACAAUCGUCCUAGUACGUUACUUCUACUUCACCAAGAGACUAUGUAUAUUAAAGCCACAACGCCUAUAUGUAUGUAGGAUGACCUAUUUUAGUCUUUAAUGAACCUUUCUCUACAAGUGUAUCGAACGAAAAAAGGAGAAUUUCAAAGAGAACUUCAAAAAGCUUUAAAAAUGAAUAUAUGAAUUAAAUAUUCCUAUACUUAAAUACUUCUGUAAUUAUAUUUUUUUUUCUUCAAUUUUUUUAUCAUUUUAUAUUAUGUACUAACCGUAUAAUUAGCAAGUAAUAAACUUUUUAUCAUAAAAAAAUAUUAAUUUAAUAGAUAGUUAAGGAAAAAAUUUUUUACACCAGAAAAAUAAUACUGAAAAUAAAAUUUCUAUGAUCUAGUAAAAUCCCUACAAUCUUACUCCCUAGAGUAAAACAAUUCCCCACUCUUUCGUUAAAACUGUGUCACGUGGUAUCCAUUAGUUCCAAUCGCGACGCGUCGAUUACUUGGCGUCUUGUGUUCAUGGCGAAGCCUGAAAGAAGUCUUGGGAGGAAGCCGUUGCAAGCCACCCUAAAGAAGAAGUAUAACUUCUACGAACAAUAGCCGGUCGUUAUCUUGACCGGCGCUUCACCGCACGCAUUGUACUCGCGCUGUAUCCUUUCCGUGAACACGAUCGCAACAAUGCACUGCCAUUGACUCUCUUUCACUGGAUCGUUGGAUCAGAAUGUGCAAGAAAGAAGAAGCAGAUAGAAAGUUUCUGAGUUAAACAAUUAUUAUUAUAUUUGAAAAUUUAAUAAUCACAUUCCAAAACAAAAAUAACAAUAAAAAUAUUAAUAACCUCCACUUACCAUCCAUCAUGUGUCGAAGUACUUAGAUGUUAAUCUUCUGGAAAAAUAUUUGCCCAAGAAGAGGAGUGUGGCCGUAAUAAAAAGCGGCGCAUAGAUGCAUCCCUGCACAGCAGUAAAGACGCCGGGCGAGACAUCCAACGAGGGAGCAGCAAACCGUUCGGAAUAUUUCGUUUCUGGCGGAAGCGUGUCGGUGUUAUCUCCGCCUCUGGCGUCAGUCGGAGCCCAGCCACGUUCGACUCGUGGCGACUUUCGUCUGAAUAAUUUCUGGUAUCUCAUUGACCCAUCUUAAGAACGCACGUAGAAGAAGCGGGUUUCGAGCUACAGCUUUGUGGCGCCUUCGCGAUUAGAAAAAUUAAGAAACCAAAGAAGGUGGAUUAAGGAUCGCGCAUAUAUUCGAGAUAAUUUUGUGUGCUGCGAAAUAUUUAGAAUGGCUAUAAAAAUUGAUGGUUGUAUAAUCAUAGUUAAAUCUAAAAUCAUCUGAAAAUCGAUAAUAUUGUGUUAGAUCAUUGAAUUUGUCUUUUUGAUGUUAGCCGUUGAUUAUAAGAAAAUAGAGGAUAUCGUUGAACUUGGAUAUAUUUAGUUAUUGUAUAUUGUGGAAUUCUUAAUCCCAAUAUAAUAUUUCUGGUAUUUUAAUAUUUGAUAUGAUGAUAAAACAUAGAAUUUCAUUUCGUAAUUUUAAAAAUAUAUUUGAAGUAAUUAAAUAAUAUAAAUAAUAAAGACACUGAAUUUACAUGUCUAAAGAUGAUAUUUAUUUUUAUUUAUUACGUGUAGAGAAAAAUGCACUUUAUAACUGCAUGUAACUCUGAAAUAUAUGUUGCAGCACGUGAUUAAUCAAAAUUAUGAACGAUAUAUCUAGUUAGCGUAUUCUACUUUUGAAAAAGAUUACUAAAAUACAAAAAUGAGUACUUGAAAAUAAGGUCAAGCAGUAUAUGUUCAUAUGAACUUUUAUUUUAUUGUUCCUGCAUUUAGAAUGCAGUUAUUAUCUAGCUUAUAUGUAUUACAGUAAAUAUUUGCAUCAAAAUAUAAAUCAUGAUAAAUUAUAUGUAUAUAGGUAUCAUAAUAACAAAGUACAAUAGCAAAAUUUCCAUUUAGUUUAUUGAUGUUUUUUGAUAAAAUAUGUAUCGGUAUAGAAAAAUGGCAAAAAUAAUGCACUUUUUUGAAAAUAAUGAAUUAUAAAAAAGAAUUUGUAGAAUUAUUUAUUUUAUUAUUUUUAAAAUUUGUAGAAUUUGUAGAAUUAUAAAAAAUUUCAAAAGAAAUGUCAGGCAAUCAAGAUUUCCUAUAAAUCAACAAAAUUUUAAAAAGUGAAAAUAUGGAUUUUAAUAGUUCAAAGUUUUUUCCUAACUUCUUAUAUAUAUAUAUAUAAGAAAAAAAUAAAGAAUUUAAUUCAGAGUUAUCGUCAUUUAUAAGAUUAUAUAAUUAAUGCAUUCCAAAAAGAAUAAAAUCAAUCUUGAGAUUCCAAUUAUCUAAAAAAAAAGUAUAAAAGAUCAAGAAAUCUUAUUUUAAUUUUCAUUACAUUUCAUUUUAAUUUACCUAGAAACAAAAAGCACAUACUAAAUCUCAAUAAAAAGAUUUUAUUUUUCCAGUUACGUCAACAAAGCUUCGUGACGUAGCACAAGGUCCUCAGCAAUAACUUCCAUCCGAGGUUCAAUCGAUAAAGCCUCCCAUUUCGGUCAAGCCGAAAACACGAACCAGUUUCCCGGAAUCUCAAACUUCUCUCUCUCUACUCUCUCUUUCUCUACUAUUAUACCACUACUACUAUUACUAUUAAUAUUAUUAUUAGUACUACUAUUUCUUUUCACAAAAUUUCUUAAAAAUACUAAUAAUUUAUAUACAUUUUAUUUUAUUAUAUGUAUAUAUAUAUAUUUCAAAUCAGGAAUUUUUUUCUUUUUUUACAUGUUAUGUCUUUUGCAACAUGCUGGGAGAAAAUAUAAUAAUAUAACACUAUGACGAUACAGUAGAAACGAUGAUGAUGAAAAAAAAGGAAAAAGAAAGAAUGUAACACACGACGAAUAUCGUAUGAAAUUAUAAUUGUAUUCAAAGGCGGAGGCGCUGUUGCCUUUCAUUUGUUAAGCAAGUCGCGCAUUGACGUCACAUAUGCGAGCUACAGAAAAUUAUAGAAAAGUCGACUUCCAUGAAAAACUCGUACAUUUUAUUUUAAAAUUAUGUUGAUCAUUAGAAAUUAAUUUAUUAUCGGUUUUAACUCUUAAUCGUAAGUAUCAUUGGAUUAUAGAUAACCAUGAUAGUUUAAAGACAGUUUAAAUUUUAUAUUGGGUUAAUUUUAAUGUUAUUUUAUUAUUAUAAUUUUAAUUUAUAUUUUAUAUCAUAUAUAUUAAAUUAUAUCGAUGAUAUAAUAUAUGAUAUGUUUAUAUAUAAAUUAUAUAAUUUAUUAUUUGAGAAUAUUUUUGUUAUGAAUUAUAGAACGAAUUAAAAAAUAUUAAUCAAAUAUCAGAGAAUAUCUGUUUUUAGUUAUGAUUUUUAAUAUGAACAUGAUUAAGUCAUUUAUUAAUUAUAAUUAUAAAGAUAUACCGACAUUUUUUUUUCAUGAAAAUAUUUAAAUUGCAAGCAAUUAGUUCUGACAGAUGUUCCUACUAUAAAUAACGUCAAGGAUGAAGAUGCUAUUUGGCAAGUAAUCGAUUUUUUCGUUGCACAAUUUAAAAUUUUUUUUAUUUUUAAAAAUUUUAUUUUCGAUGACAUAUCGAUAACUCCAUUUCAAAAUGUUAUUUUAAAAUUAAAUCUUCGUUAAAAAAACUUUUAAAGAUCUCGUUAUUUAUACAACUUGUAUAAAUUGCACUUACUAUGAUGAAAUUUUAAUUAAUAUCUGAUGGAUUGAAUUUCAAUCGAUUGAAUCCACUUUAUCUGAAUAUGAAUCCUAUCCUUAUCCUAUUAUUUAAAUGAGAAAUCAUAAAUAGUGAAAAAAUUUAUAAUCUCUUAUAUGAAUUCCAAUUAUAUGUAUAAUAUAUUUAUCACAUAAAGAAACUCCAUUUAUGAUGGUACGUUUACUUUAUUAACUAAACUUUUGUUGAUUCAAUUCAUUUAUUAACUAAUUGAAUGAAAAAACAUAAGAAAUAUGAAGAAUGAAUUGAAAUAAAUAGAACUCUAAACUAUUUAUUUCUAUUUGGAUUAUUAUAUAUAUUAUAUAUAAUUAGAAUUUGAAUCUAUUGAAAACUAAGAGAUAUACAAAAUAAGCUAUCUAUAUUUUAUUCAAAAUAUUUACUCAAAAUAUUUUAUUCAAGAUUAGGAACAUAAAAAAAUUUAUAUAUAAAUAAAUUAAAUAUGCCAAAUGAUUGAUGCUAAUUUUAAAGUAUAUUAUAUUAUAAAAUAUAAUAAUUUCUAGUAUAUUUUUAAAAUUAUUCAAUUGUUCUCAUAAAAUGAUAUUUCUUAACGUGGAUGCAAAAUAAUUUGUAGAAUAUAAUUACUGCUGUCAUUUUCAUUUAAUGACUUUCAAUGCUUAUUUAUUUUAAUACAAUUGCAUAAUCAUAUUCCAUGGCAGUACCAGAUGUCUCGUUAUUUCAAAAAAAACAGUAUCGCUAAUCAUUUUGCGAUAAUAAAGUCAUGUAAAAUAUUAAGUUUUUAAAUUUUUUUUAAUAAAGAAAAUAGGAGGUUGCAAAUUAUUCGAACAUCACAAAGGAGGUCGCAACUUAAAAAAUGAUUGGAGAAUGCAGACAUAGAGGGAUGAUGAUGCACAGUAGCAGCCGCCGCUUGACUCUCCCGCUCUGUCUCACUCGGAAGUCCCGAUGGUAUCGACAUACAUUCAUGGAACCUGGCUCGUAUUUUUCGACGAGCUUCUUUGACGGACGCAUACAACGCUUUCAGGCGAAGGGCGAGCACGGUCGCGCGCACCCGUUCCAAAUCUAGGUCAUACUCUAUGCAUAUGCACAUAAAUGCACUGGAAUGCCCCAAUGACCCAGUUUACGAAUCCUGACGUAGUUAUAUCGUAGCCUCGAUCCUAUGACGUGCACUCUCCCCAAAUCAAGGUAAACUUCCCCCGAUACACGCUUUUAUUCGCUAUUAGACCAUUUGUCUCAUUCUUCUUUGUUUCCUGUUUGUCGAAUAGCAGUCCUUGGUGAUCUCGCCGCCGAGAGAGGAUCAUCUUAACGAAUGUUACUAGAUUAGAUGCAAAAUCGGAAUGAUUUUGAUGUGAAGAAUUAUUAUUGAGUGAAAAUUAUUCUGGAAGAAAAUAGAAUUUAUUAAAGAUUGAUCUUUAAUUUUAUUUUUAAGAAUAAAUCAGAUUCAAUGGGAAUUAGAAAGAUCUUCGAUAUUUUUUUAAUAUUAUCCACAAUAAACGAUAAAUCAUUUAUUAAUGAAAAUUUUCAUUAUAAAUAUUGAAAUUAUUUUGCAAUCUUUUUGAGGAUCAUAAUUCACAGAUUGCAAGGCUAUGCUUUAAAAAAUGAUCAAUUAUAAAAAUUAUAAAACAAAUUUCUUAUAAAAUAUCCAAAUCGAUAAUUUAUUUUUCUCUUUUUUCCAUCAAAAAUGGAAUCGAUUAGGAAACCGAUCGAAAUAAUUAUAUAUUUUUCUAUUCUAUUCACACUAUGUGUACAACUUGUUAACGACUACACCACUAUUUCCGCGUGAAACGCCCUCUUUCUCCAGAGUAUUUACGUAAUGACGCGGUGACCUGUUUCAGCCGGCGCUUAAGUAUGUAAAUUGCGCGGAAUUACUAUUGUGUCGGCUGUGUUAAGCUUCUUAUUCAAAUUGUUGCUUUUAAUCUUUUCCCGGUGGCCGAUCUAACACGUUUCGGAACAAAACGUUGUCUCGAUUAAGUUCCUUGUAAGCUAAAACCCGUUUUCCAUUCUUCUCAUAUCUGACAUCUGGAUUUGUCUUUUACGCCUCAUAAAGUUAUAGUAGGAUUUAUAGCAACGACUAUAGCAUAUACAUUCUGACUAUGUAUAUUCGAAUUGUAUCUUUGAAUUAAGAAAUCAUUUCUUAAACUAAGAAUGCAUACUUUGAUAUUUUUUUAAGAGGAAUUAUUAAUUGUUUUCUAUGUCAAAUAUUUUUAAGCUCUAUUUUGUUUAAAACACAAAUCAAUUGAUGAAAUUUGUAUAUUUUUUAUAAUAUAUUAAUCUGAAAUGGUUAACGAACUUGAGAGCGAUCAGAGGAAGAGUAAUCAGAGCUCUUGAGCCUUGAAAGACGACGUGUCAGCAUUAAGAUGGCAACAUCGCAGCAUUGUCCGUGAGAUAUACACGGUGAAAAACGAUAUCUGAACUUAGUGAGCGAAAUAGUGUCGCCUACAUAGUGCGACACAAGAGCAGCUCAUUCUUCCAUGGACAUUUUACACUCCAGUUUUGAGUGCAACGCUUCGCACGAGUGCAACUCUGACCUAGAAUUUUAAAGACUUAUUUCUUACAUUCGCUACUUUAACGUGACCAUAAUAAACCAUAACCUUCGUGCACCGGAUUCUAAAAUGACAAAGCAAGUUUGCCAUGAAUCAGUUUCAUUACCUUGGAAUUAUUAUAAGUUUGCUACACAAAAGUAAUUAAUUAAAGAUUCCACUAUAAGAUUUUUUCAGUCUUCAUUGAUCUAUUUAGAAUAAUUCUUAAAAAAGUGAAUGAUUAUAUUCAUUAUAACUAUCUUAUUGGUUGAAUAUAUAAGAAUAUAUCCAUAGCAUAUUGAAAGAUAUAUUUUGUGGAGUUCUUUUUUUUUUCUUUAAAUGAUUUAAUAAUUAUUUUUAAUAUUCUAUAAUUAAUAUCUAUAAUUCUAUCUAUAAUCUAUAAUUCUAUAAUUAAAUUAAUUCUUUUAGAAUUGAUUUAAUCAUUUAAAAAAGAAAUCAAAUUACAAAUCAUUUUUUUAUAAUGAUAAAUAAAUAUUUAUUUUUUAUUUUUGAUAUAUCAUCAUCAUGUAAGCCUAGAAUUAUUUUUUCUCUUAUCAGGGAGAUAAUUCAAUUAGGAUUAUUUCAUAUAUAUUUUCUUAAUAGAUGAACAUCCUAAUGGAUUCAUUACGCCUUGUGUUAUAAUUAAUCUAGUAAGACAUGAAAAAUAUACAAGUGUUUUGAAAGUGACUUUGAGCAGAUGUUGAAUGAAAAAAAGAAUUAUUGGUAUUAGUUUACCUUCAAUUCUCAGACCUCCAGUGUUUUUUCACUAAGAAGAAAGACUGAAAUAUGAGCUUCUGCUCUAGGCGAGCUAUCCCUUGACUAAUAGGGUGAUCCUUUACAUGAUGGAAGCCGAAAUACAUUUGUUAGACAAUAAAGAAAAUUUUUGUAAUCUUAACAAACCAAUAUAUAUUCAUUUUGGAUAAAUCAAUAGUUAUACUUUCUUUUAAUAGUACCUUUAAUGAUAAAUUAAAUUUAAUAUCUUACAUUUUAAAAGAAAAAUAAUAUUAUAAAUAUUUUAAAAAGAUAUACCAAAAUUUUAUAUUUCAAAUAUAGUUAUAUAUAGUUAUAAUAAUAAUAAAGUUAAUAGUUGAAUAUAAAAUUCAAAUGAAAUUUAAAAUAAUUAAAAAUUUCAAGACAAGAAAUAUGAUACUACGUCAGAAACAUUGUAUCUUCUAACCUCAAUUUUUAAAAAAAGAUUUAACGCUUUUAAAAAGCGUAAUAAUUGAAAGACAUUCUGAUAAAUUAUAAAAUUAAAGAAACAUUAUUUUCAAUAAUGAAUUACCAACUUGAAUUCACGAUUUUUCUUUUUUUUUUCUCAUCAUUUCGCAUCUUGUUCUUGUUGCGACAAAUGCUUUUCACUGAGGCAAAUGGAAAAAAUAUAACGAAGCGCGCGCAGCCUAGUGCUCUGUUCGUUACAUUCGCUUAACGAGUGCUUUAACACUCGAACUGUAUAACGAGUACACUUAACCUAUCUGCAUUGAUAAACGUGUCGUUAGAUUUUUGCAACCUUGAUCCUAAUCAAACGGAUCGCGAUAUUAGCGUCUAAAUUGCAUAGGAAUUCUAUUGAAAAUAAUAUUUCAAAGUGUAUUCAAAGUAUACCGAAUCUUGUACCGAAACGUUUAACCUGGAUACUUUAGGAAAAAAAAAAGAAAAAUCGUUACGUGUAUCACAAAGCUCGGAGAAAAUAUUUCUAUCAUGCCCUCGUUGUCUAUUUCGAGCCAUUUCUCUCGCUUCUGUCUUUUUUCACCUUUUUUUUUUUAAAUAAAAUCUGAAUUUCACAUCAUGUACUACGGAUGUGAUAUUUUUGACACAUUUACCAUACUCUCUCGAAUACCUCGUAUAUAUUACCGAUAAAAACGGAACCAGAUGUAUCGACCGUAUAUUAUAAAACUUUUUUUUCACAUUGAACAAGAGACACGAGAAUUACGAGUGAUUCCCAGUCAUUUCAAUCUCUACGUAUUUAUUUUUCAAAAUUCCAAAAAGAUUGAAGAUUGGACAGGCGAAAAAAGUUAUUGACUUGUUGGUUUUCGUUAGAUUUUACUUGUUUCGUGCACCGGUAAGUCGAAUCGACAUGAAAUGGAUAGAGUGGACAUUCGUUGCGCUUGACACGGUGAAAUGCAUUUCCAACGUGCGAAUAAUUUUUAGAAGAGCACGUAUUGUGCUACUGCGUUUAAAGUGAAACUGAAUACGCUUGGCGUCGAAAUAGAGAGAUUUAUAAAAUUGAAAGCUUGCAAAUUGUAGAGUAUAUAAAGUUUCCUAAAAAUAAUCUUCUUGAAAACUUAUAAAAAAUUUUAUUGCAAGAAAAAUUUUAAUGAUUAUUAAUUAAAAUAAGAAUAAAUCCAAAUGAAGAAAAUGAAAAAACAUGGAAAAAUAAAAUUAUAAUAAAGUUUCGAUUAAAAUCUAAAAAAUCUGAAUAUUUUACUUGAAUCGAAUUAUUCAUUCAUAUAAUUCACAAAUUCAUAUGGAAUUUAUUCAUAACCUCAAAAAGUCAGUUUCAUCGAUAAAGGAAAUCGUAAACCCUAGAUUCCACUAACCGAUUGAAUGCUGAUCGGAAAAUGGGUGAGAGUUUUCGAUUGUUAGGCUUUCUGAUUUCAAAUUCAACUUAUACAAACAGAACCCGGUUUCCGCGAUAGCAAGAGCAGCCGUUUAGAAUCGGUGCUCGCAACACGAUGCAUAAUACAAAUUGGUGUUCUCGCAACGAUCGAUAGUCCAUGUUCGAUUGUUCUCUCGGGAGCAGUUGCACGUUGUUAUUACAAGUGACGCCACGAGCAAUGUGUUGUACUAUUGUGGUACCUUUAAUUACUAACGAAAUUGGUUUAAGUUUCGAACAUUUAUGCAGCAACGUAUCUCACAAAAAGAACAAAUGAAAAGAAAUUUAUCAAUUACACGCGAUUUCUCGACACCAGUGGAAAGCCCCAUUCUCCCAUUCUAUCGAGAAAAAGGAAAUAAGUCGCUAUUCUUCAGUCACGAUAAUUAGCCAAAGGAAAAGAAAACGACGAAGAAAAAGAAAAAGAGAACGAAGUGUUGGAGGCAAGCUGUUCGCUUCACUCGGCUUUCUUUCAAAGUUCCGAAACUCAUCGUGCAAAUAAAGGAAAGGGCCAUGUCGAGGACGAAGGCCACCGUUACACAUUCAUCUUUUAAAGCGGCACUUUUCAAAGCAUCACUUUACGAACCACCCAACUGCGUUACAGGAGAGAAAGCUCAUUCCCUACAUAGUGUCGCGAAACGCCUCUUUUAUCCCUCUUUGCAUUGCGUCCGUGACGACCACCGACUACACGUGUACUCGUCAAUAUUUUCCCUUUUUAUUAUUAAUCUGUCUCGUUCGCCCUCACUGGUUCGUCUUUUCUUAACAUAAUUUAUAUACAGAAUGUAUUUUAUGAUAUGCGUCACAUUAUUGUAAUAUGGGAAUUUUAUUUAUUAAAUAAGAAGGAAUUAAGAAUUUAAGGACAUUGUAACUGUCUUCCGAUUGAUUUUUUGAUUGAAGAGAAUUUAAAUUCUGUUCGUUCUCAUUUUUUUUCUUUAAGUAAAUAUAUGUCUUAAUAUACAUAUAUGAGAUACUUUUGGAGGAUCGAUUCUGGAGGUCAAGGUUAAUAUAUAGAAAUAUCGAUUAAGGGUUAUUUAUUAAGUUAUAAGCAAUUUAAAUUUGCAAUAGAUGAAGCAAGGUAGCGUUGUGAUAAAGAUAAAGCUGUUUCAAUCUAUCUUCGUCUCGUUUAUAACGUAAUAAAUAAUCAAUAUUUUUUUAUAAUAAAAUUUCUAAUAAAUAUGUAAUAAUAAGAAACAUAAAAAAAAACAAACUUUUUGUCAUCUCUGAUGUAAUUUAAAAAUUAAUAUUUUUAUGUAAGUGUCAAAUAAUAUUCCAAACUAUAUACUAAUACUAGAUCAUAUAAUAUCCAACAAAAGAAUAAUUUAUUAAAAACAAAUUUUUUUCAAUAUAAAA